rnacentral:ncRNA from 2 species
ACUAGGAUGGGUGACCUCC